rnacentral:rRNA from 1 species
UGCCAGACUCCUACGGGAGGCAGCAGUGGGGAAUAUUGCACAAUGGGGGGAACCCUGAUGCAGCGACGCCGCGUGAAGGAAGAAGUAUUUCGGUAUGUAAACUUCUAUCAGCAGGGAAGAAAAUGACGGUACCUGACUAAGAAGCCCCGGCUAACUACGUGCCAGCAGCCGCGGUAAUACGUAGGGGGCAAGCGUUAUCCGGAUUUACUGGGUGUAAAGGGGGCGCAGACGGCAGCGCAAGCCAGGAGUGAAAGCCCGGGGCCCAACCCCGGGACUGCUCUUGGAACUGCGCGGCUGGAGUGCAGGAGGGGCAGGCGGAAUUCCUGGUGUAGCGGUGAAAUGCGUAGAUAUCAGGAGGAACACCGGUGGCGAAGGCGGCCUGCUGGACUGCGACUGACGUUGAGGCCCGAAAGCGUGGGGAGCAAACAGGAUUAGAUACCCCGGUACU